UCCCCAGAGACCCACCCUACUAGGGAAAGAGAGAGGCAGACUGGGAGUAUGGACAGACCAGUCAACGCCCAUGUUCAGCGGGGAAGCAAUUACAGAAGCCAGACCUUCUACCUUCUGCAACCCACAACAACCCUGGGUCCAUGCUCCCAGAGGGAUAGAGAAUGGGAAAGCUAUCUGUAAAAGGCAGUAGCCUUGAAAUUCCCUUUUUAUGCCGUUGUUUGUUAAGUGCUUUUAGUAUGAGUUGCUUGUAGUAUGAGGUGGAAAAUUCCUUGCCCCUUCCCCCUUGAAUAAGCAGGACCUAAUCAGUGAAGGCCACCCAUUGUUCGAAGGACCCUGCCUGGGGACAAGCCUUAUCAGGACCUCAUCAGUGAAGGCCACCCAUUGUUCGAAGGACCCUACAUGGGGACAAGCCUUAUCAGGACCUUUGAACAGACUCUGUGGUGUGCUGCCUACCGGAUGGGUGGUCAUAGCCGAUGGCAGGAGGAUGUGGCGACCCUGCCUGGUUGAAUUCUAUUGGUUGUGUGAUCUUACUAUAUUUGAAAAUAGCCCGCACUUUGCUUUGAAUGGACCCUGCUUUUUGCUAAGUUUGAAAUGAUUGGAUCUGUGUUUGCUAUAGCCUGUUAUUGGAUGUAGGUUGAUAAGUGGAUGGUGGUUUGAUUUAUGCUCGCUAACAUUUGGAGGCUCCAGCGAGAUCCCUCAGACGGGUAUUCCUGAGGACACCCCAUCCUGGGUCCGGACCCUCGGAGGCCUUGGAAGUCCUGCCCGGCGCCGAGUCUCUCAAGUUAGGUAUCACACACUGAAGAUGUGUCUCUAUCUCUUGUGUGGAAAAUGACAGAAAGGUUAUUGACAUGUAAACGUUUUAAAAUACCUUCUCAACUAAAGAAGUAGAACUGGCUUAGGUGAGUGAAAAAUAACACAGUGGUUAUAUUACUGGUAUAUCUGUUUGUUAAAAAGACCUUCUAAAAUUACAUAGAGAUGUAUAGGCAAAUUCUGGUCAUUAGACUGUCAGUUUUGGUAAGCUCUUAAUCUGGUUUUGUGUAUGUCUUACUGGUUACAAAUGUACGAGUACAGCAGUGAUACCCCUUCAAUCAUACUGCCAGGUUCUCUUAGGGGGUCUCCAAGAGGCAGUAAAAUGGCCCACAAAUUUCUCUAAGGUAAAUAGAAUGACACUAAAUUUGGCCUUUUGUUGCUCAAAUCUGCCCCAGGUGUUAGAAAAAAGUUACAGAAGACAGAAAGAUUUUAAAGAAAAGCUGAGAGAUUGCUCAGAGGGUUUUUAAGAAGUUGGUAAAUGUUUUGACAUCAGACUUUGGAAAGGAAGAAAGAAAGAAAGAAAGAAAGAAAGAAAGAAAGAAAGAAAGAAAGAAAGAAAGAGAAAGUUGGGGCAGUGCCCAGAGGGAAAAGGAAAGUCAGAAAAUUGGGGCUAAGGGAAGAGAAAGAUCAGUGAUGUUGCUGCAAAGAAAAAGGACACUGGAAGAAAGGCUGUUUUAUCAACAAGCCAUUUAGACUGCUUGUGGAUGAACUUAAAGGCAUAAGCCGGGAAGUGCUGACCCAAAACCUUGGGCCAUGGCACAGACCCGUUGCCUAUUUGUCAAAUAUUGGACCCUGUAGCUGCUGGAUGGACAAAAUGCCUGAGGACAGUAGCACCUGUGGCACAGCUGGUAAGGAAAGCAGACAAGCCAUCACUGGGGCAAGUCCAAUGCCCACCUAACCUGCUACCAAGUUCUGUUCCUAGACCAGCCAUGAGUGAAAUUCAGUGCUGCCACCGGCCUGAACCCUGCCACCCUGAUGUUGGAGACGGAUCCUGAGGCUCCCUACAAAUGCAUGACUGCCAAGAGGUAUGCCUUUGCUACAUGGCGUGUGCAUGGAGCAUGUGGGGAGAGAAGAUUCCUGACUCCCACCGGGAAGAUGAUCCAGCAAAAGAACCUACUGGAGGCCGCAUGGACCCUGCAAGAAGCAGCCAUGACCCAUUGUUCCGGACAUCAGAAAAGAAACUAGAGGGCAGAUGAAGCCACUUGUGCAGCUACACAACAAGCAGAGCCAGCCUUGACAUUGAUUCUACUAGGCUCCCUGCUUCCAAAGGACCCUGGAUACAGUAAGGAGAAAUAAGAUGGGCAAGAGAUUAGGACUAGAGACUAAAUAGAUUUUACAGAAGUAAAAUCAGAGACUUUUGGGUAUAAGUACUUGCUGAUAUUUAUAGACACAUUUUCAAGUUGGGUAGAGGUUUAACCAAUAAAGUCUGAGGGGGGCAUAGAUGGUGAGCAAGAAAAUUUUAGAUAAAACAGUGCCCAGGUGGAGAGUUCCCUCUCACCAUUGGUUCUGGUAAGCAGACAUUCACUGUUUUUGUGUCUCAGUUAGUGACCCGAGAAAUGGGAACAAAUUGGAAAUUUCAUUAUGCUAACGAGCCCCAUAUCCCUGGGCAGGUAGAGAGAUAAAUUAGACCUUAAAGGAGACUUUAACUAAAUUAACCCUUGAAACUGGCAGGGGAUGGGUAUCGCUCCUGGCUCAGGCCCUUCUGAGAGUACACUGUCUCCCAUUGUAAACAAACUGUCUCCCUUUGAAAUGGUUUUUGGCAGACUGCUGCUGUCAUGAUCUGUGAUGCUCUUGUCUCUGAUCCAUUCCACAACUGUUAUACCAAGUUCUUACAUAUCUCCAGCCUAUAUUGCAGGACAAUUAGAAUGCUGUGCUACAAGCCUUUGGGAAGGACCCUGUCACCUGCUGCCUGCUCCACAAGGCACACCCAGUGAGAAAGACCUUAUAUUGUGAUCCUGAGUACACCAACUGCUGCAAAGGUUGCCGGAAAGUGCCACUAGAUUCAUCACACUCCUUUGAAGAGGACAGUUGCUGAUCCCACUGACCCAAAAGAAAAAAAAGAUGAAGAUGAAUCAAAGAUUUGAUUCUCGGCUAAGACAAGUGGGGAAUGUAAAAGGCAGUAGCCUUGAAAUUCCCUUUUUAUGCCGUUGUUUGUUAAGUGCUUUUAGUAUGAGUUGCUUGUAGUAUGAGGUGGAAAAUUCCUUGCCCCUUCCCCCUUGAAUAAGCAGGACCUAAUCAGUGAAGGCCACCCAUUGUUCGAAGGACCCUGCCUGGGGACAAGCCUUAUCAGGACCUCAUCAGUGAAGGCCACCCAUUGUUCGAAGGACCCUACAUGGGGACAAGCCUUAUCAGGACCUUUGAACAGACUUUGUGGUGUGCUGCCUACCGGAUGGGUGGUCAUAGCCGAUGGCAGGAGGAUGUGGCGACCCUGCCUGGUUGAAUUCUAUUGGUUGUGUGAUCUUACUAUAUUUGAAAAUAGCCCGCACUUUGCUUUGAAUGGACCCUGCUUUUUGCUAAGUUUGAAAUGAUUGGAUCUUGUGUUUGCUAUAGCCUGUUAUUGGAUGUAGGUUGAUAAGGUGAUGUGCUCCCCCUCCCUGAGUGUAGUCUGAAUUCCUAUAAAUUGUAUGGUUUGAGCCCUGUUCGGGGUCGAGCUUGGUAGACUAACACCAGUCACCAUCUCGGCCCGGAUUGCAAUUCGUCAAUAAACAUCUUUGCUUCCUUACA